rnacentral:rRNA from 1 species
UUUUUGAUUUUAAUUUAAAGUAAGGCCUGCCCMCUGAAAUAUUUAAAGGGCCGCAGUAUUUUGACUGUGCAAAGGUAGCAUAAUCAUUAGUUUUUUAAUUGAAAGCUGGAAUGAAUGGUUUAAUGAAAAAAUAGUUGUCUCAAUUUAAAUUAUAGAAUUUUAUUUUUAAGUUAAAAAGCUUAAAUUUUUUAAAAAGACGAGAAGACCCUAUAGAGUUUUAUUUAUUUUUAUUUUAUAAAAUUUAGAAUUUAAAUUUAUUAGAUUAAAAUAAAUUUAGUUGGGGUGACUGAAAAAUUAAAAUAACUUUUUUUUUAUUUUUACAUUAAUUUAUGAGUGAUUGAUCCAUAAAAAUGAUUGAAAGAUUAAAUUACCUUAGGGAUAACAGCGUAAUUUUUUUUUAGAGUUCAUAUUAAAAAAAAAGAUUGCGACCUCGAUGUUGGAUUAAAGUUUGAUUUUGAUGCAGAAGUUAAAAAUCUAGGUCUGUUCGACCUUUAAAACUUUACA